rnacentral:rRNA from 1 species
GACGAACGCUGGUGGCGUGCUUAACACAUGCAAGUCGAACGGAAAGGCCCUGCUUUUGUGGGGUGCUCGAGUGGCGAACGGGUGAGUAACACGUGAGUAACCUGCCCUUGACUUUGGGAUAACUUCAGGAAACUGGGGCUAAUACCGGAUAGGAGCUCCUGCUGCAUGGUGGGGGUUGGAAAGUUUCGGCGGUUGGGGAUGGACUCGCGGCUUAUCAGCUUGUUGGUGGGGUAGUGGCUUACCAAGGCUUUGACGGGUAGCCGGCCUGAGAGGGUGACCGGCCACUUUGGGACUGAGAUACGGCCCAGACUCCUACGGGAGGCAGCAGUGGGGAAUAUUGCACAAUGGGCGGAAGCCUGAUGCAGCAACGCCGCGUGCGGGAUGACGGCCUUCGGGUUGUAAACCGCUUUCGCCUGUGACGAAGCGUGAGUGACGGUAAUGGGUAAAGAAGCACCGGCUAACUACGUG